rnacentral:rRNA from 1 species
UACGAAGGGGGGCUAGCGUUGUUCGGAAUUACUGGGCGUAAAGGGCGCGCAGGCGGUCUUCCAAGUCAGAUGUGAAAGCCCCGGGCUCAACCUGGGAACUGCAUUUGAGACUGGAGGACUAGAGUUCGGGAGAGGAGAGCGGAAUUCCCAGUGUAGAGGUGAAAUUCGUAGAUAGUUGGGGAGAACACCGGUGGCGAAGGCGGUUCUCUGGGCAUUACCUGACGCUGAGGAGCGAAAGUGUGGGGAGCGAACAGG